ACUGGUGUCAGCCGCCGCGGUAAUACCAGCUCUCCGAGUGGUAGGGACGAUUAUUGGGCCUAAAGCGUUCGUAGCCGGCUUGGCAAGUCUCUCGUUAAAUCCAGUGACCUAAUCGCUGGACUGCGGGAGAUACUGUCAGGCUUGGGAGCGGAAGAGGUCGACGGUAUUCUCGGGGUAGGGGUGAAAUCCUGUAAUCCCGGGAGGACCACCAGUGGCGAAGGCUGUCGACUAGAACGCGUCCGACGGUGAGGGACGAAAGCUGGGGGAGCGAACCGGAUUAGAUACCCGGGUAGUCCCAGCUGUAAACUAUGCGGGCUAGGUGUCAGUGUGGCUACGAGCCACUCUGGUGCCGCAAGGAAGCUCAUAA
rnacentral:rRNA from 1 species